CCACACACACACCACACACACAUAUCAUGCCAAGAGCAAAUGCUCCCAUUGUUUCUGCUCUCUAUUCUAAUGCAGAACCGAGCGCGAUGAGGGUAAAUCCGGAUCUGGACUCCUUUCCCACCAUCAGCAGAAGAACCGAAGGAGAAGAAGCGCCGACCCACAACCAGAACGGGGUGGAAGCUCUGACACCACAGCAGCUGGAGGACACAGACCACAGCAUGGACGCCUCACAGACUCCCACAACGUCUGCAGCCAUCACGUUCUGGGCUCAUCAGAUGAACCAGCUACUACAAGCGUGUGUGUCUGACACAGACACCUGCUUAUGACAAUCAGCAAAGGAAAACAAGGACAGAGCAACAGCAGAGAAGACAUGCUCUGACACAGACACUGGUUGAAACAACAGGAGAGGCUUCAGACGUGAUCGGCCCAAAAGAGCUGCAUCUGAGGAUCCAGGAAAGGUCUGUCAUCGAGGAACAACUGUCCCAUUGAAAGGCUUCACCCGCUGGCGCUCACAUCAGACUGAUGGUUGGGGAAGGAGGAAGGUGACGGUUCCUUUUCACGUGACGUACAAGACGCUCCACACGUCCCUCUGUGAAAACAUGAUGGAGACAGAUGCAGGACGUGGGUCCUUUCGUGAACAGAUGUCAACGGGGUGGAGACUGGUGAACGACUUCUGACCCCAUGUGACGUAUUUACCUACUUUGCAUACUUUAGAAAACUUUUUUUUUAUUCUGCCUGUCAUGUGCAGCAAACAGUGAACUGGGUACCUCCACAUUCUAAUGACACACAUUACACGCUUUCGUUUUUAUUUUUAUUUUUCAGAGGACGCUCUGACCCAACACUCAGCCUUACAGGAAGCCCUGCUUCCCUGUGGCUCACACACAUAUGAUGUAGGUUUGAUCAGAGGAUGUGAACUAGUGGUCAUCACACCUAAAUCUGACCACAGACCAUGUAAACAACAACACCAUCUUAAAGGAGCCAUACAGUAGAUGGCGUUACUGCAGACACCACUAAGCUACUGAAACAUUGGAUGCUACAGGCCACAAAGAGAGCCUGUUUAAAUUACACUUUGUUCAGACAAAGGUUAUUUUCUGGGUCAUUGUAAUUACAGCUGAUGGCAAAUCCAUCUCACCCAACAGAUUUGAAGCAAUUUGAAACCUGCCUAAACCGUGCACGUAUAAACAGCUGAUGUUUUUUCUAGGUCUUUGUUCUUAUUGUAGGACUUUCAUUCCUAACUUUACUGUCUUUGAGGCCCCACUCAGGGUUCUGAUGCAGACGUCUUCAUCGUCCACUUCUUGUCUCACGUGGACGUCUGAGGCUGAACAACGUUCACUAACCUCAUGCUUGCUCUUCAGUUGGCUCCUACUUUGGGUCUUCCUGAUCUGACCCUACGUGACCUUUCACUCAAACAGUGGAUGAGAAAUCAGGUUGUACGACUUCUGUUCUUUUGUCCUCAUACUGUGUCUUUGAUUCUUUUGGAAAACAUCACAUCUUUCUACAGCCCGAUGGCUUAGAUGCAACACCACUUUGCUCAACAUGCUGAACGUUACUAUCAAGAGGCCGUCUUGAAGUCUGGCUCUUUGCUAAGACACUACUCUGCUCAGGCUGCAGAGUUGAUCGCGUUGACUGAAGCUAGUAAACUAGCAGAAGGAGAGACUGUUACCAUCUACAGACUCCACAGAUGCUUGUCACACGUUGGUUCUCUGUGGAAGCAUGGGAAGCUUUGAAGUCUGAUUGCAAACCUAUCUUACAUCAUGAUUAGUUUCUGCUUUGCUGGACGCUGUCCUGCUGCCUACAGCUAAUGCUGUUUGUAACUGUCCAACAUCAGUGACGACUUUGUUUCUGCCGACAUGCAGCUGCAGACGCUGCUGCGAAGGUCGCUGCCCAACAACCCCUCCCUCUCCUGAUCCUCGUUUCCUCUCCUCAUCCUUGUUCCCUCUCUCCAACUCUCUCUAUCCUUUCCUUCCUCUCUCCCUGUGCUUUAAACAUUUUGUACCUCACAGGAACGCAGACUCUGGCUGACGAAUGGUUCCACCUGUAGCCAUGGAGUCUGGUUUGGGCCUGAUGACACGCCGUGCCGCCCAAACACCUUUUCCCCACAAUUCAGAUUUCCCAACAGGUGAAAACAGGCGACAGGACCAUUACACCAUCCAACCAGGGCACGGGCGAUCGUUAAGGAGUUCAGGAGGAAGCACUGGACCUCCAAACGGUGGCGAGGCCCCUUCCAGGUCCUUCUGACGACCCACACGGCUGUAAAGAUCGCAGAGAGAGCGACUUGGACCAACUCCAUCCAGGAAGGUCCCGGAUCCGACAGACAACCCUCCAUCUACACCACACGGAGAAAACCACCACUGACAUAAAGAACUGAGAAGGACGACCCUCGCUGUGCUCACACACGCACUGAGGCGAGGCUGCGUUGACCGUUCAGCUAAAGGUGUGAGCCAAGCGCCGCCUGAAGCUGCGCCGGUGAAUCACACUAUCAGACCAUACAUCUACACACACGCUCCUGAGAAAACACACACACGAGCAGCCUUGAGUUGCCGACGCUGGACGACGUGUAGACUCUUCACAUCACGGGAGUGACAGUGACUCAGACGACAUUGGGAGGAAACCUGGCGGUGAUAACGAACCCCAAGUGUCUCUGUGAUCAGCUGAUCACAACCUGAAGAACUCCAACGAACUGACAAUACUUCAACACACAGGUUGGAAACAAUCUAACGCUACUGUUCAACAGGAAGAAGCAGAUUGUUACAAGACAUCAAUUGUAACCUUGUUUUGUUAAACUUCAUUUUAUGUUACAUGGAUUGUUGUCUUUAUCAUAUGAUGUUUCUAUGUAACUUUACACACUACUUUUGAAUGAGAAAAUUUCACAUAAUUCACAACACUGAGUUUAAAUAUCCUAAAGUUGAUUUGGUGUUUAAUUUGCUCACAAUCACUUAUUCACUGCUACAAUUAGUUUUUAUCCUUCAUCUACAGAUGACAGAGGUUAUGAGACAAAACGCAUCAUCAUUCUGGUUAAAUCCCUGAAUCUCCUAUUCGCUCUAGACGCAAAUGUACAAUUAAAGAUCCGAAAGCAUGAAAUCUAUCUUAAGAUUAUAUGAAACAGAACCCCACCGGAAACGUAUGGCUAUCAUACAUUAAUUGUCUUUAUUACAUUACAAUUGAAUGGCCGUAGACACGUUGUUAGCAGAGAAAAGAGGCGGUUGUGUUGUGUUUGGAGACGCAUAUUGUACUUACAUCCUGAAUAACACUGAUUCUAAUGGUAUUGUGGCGAAGGCGCUACACGGCCUUCAAAAUCCCAGCUAACUCUGGUAUAGGUUCUUCCUCUUGGAAUUGGCUAGACGAAAUGUCUGGAAAAUGGAAAUCUGUUCUCAUGUCCACAGCUGUUUCCUUUAUAAUUGAGAUGGCUGUGAUUCUCUUGUUUGGUUUUUGCGUUAUCCCACUGGUUAGAGGUCUCAUCAUGCGUGCGACCUCAGCAACACUCUCGUAUCAAAUGACACAAGGCACUAUGUUCAAAAACCCCAACUCUAAUUCACAUAAUGACUUUGACAAUGGUCUUAGGCUAUUUGAUCACAAAAUAUAAUCUGAUACAAAUAUGAUUAUGAGCUUAUUUUCUUCGCAUGCCAAUACAGAGGUUAUUCUUGUUUAACUACCCACCAAAAACAGCUCCCAACCUUUUGUCCCUUAGUUACUUCCAUUUUAUGUGAAGGUGUAUUUUGAAUCUUGAUGAGUUAAUACCCUUAUUGUUUCAUUUGCAAGGAUCUUUUAUUAUUACAGAAUGUGAUGUUGACAAUUUUUCUUCUUAGUGGUUGAUUAAUGUGUAAUCAAAAGGGGGGAGUGUUAUGGCAAAAAUUGUCUCUUCCUUAUUUCUAUGUCUCUUCCUUAUUUCUAUGCAGUUAUUAUACGAGUUAUGACUUAUGUUCUGCAAUUAAUAUCUUAUGUUUUGUCUUACUGUAUGCAUUUGACAUUUCACCUAGAUUGUUCAAUGGUUGUCUCUGCCUGAUAGACUCUCAACUCUAGCUCCCAAACCCAAGGUCGGGGAGUUGUGUCUCUGUCUGUUGAGACUUGGUGCUCCUUUCUCACAGAUAGCUGGACGUCAGCGAUGCAGGUGUGAGAAAGUAAAAAUCUUCACACACACUGCGACAGGGAGGAGAUGGUGCAUGUAAUUUGAUUGGGUUGGAAAGACAUUCCACCCUAGUCGGACAGAGAAGCUAAAAGGCAGAAGCAACUUGAGGAUCGUGGGCUCUUUGCAUCACACCUUCGUGGUGUGUGCACUGAUCUCCCCAGCUGGUUUUUGGUUUGUUGAUGUGCACGAUCAACAUCCAUGCUUUUUAUUUGCUUUCCCCAUUAUUUUUAUUUUCUUUAUUAUUUCAAUAAAUCGCACAAAAGGACAA